rnacentral:rRNA from 1 species
CGUGCUUUGCGGCACGAGUUGUAGAUUGCAGGUUGGAGUCUGUGUGGAAGGCGGUGUCCAAGUCCCUUGGAACAGGGCGCCCAGGAGGGUGAGAGCCCCGUGGGAUGCCGGCGGAAGCAGUGAGGCCCUUCUGACGAGUCGAGUUGUUUGGGAAUGCAGCUCCAAGCGGGUGGUAAAUUCCAUCUAAGGCUAAAUACUGGCGAGAGACCGAUAGCGAACAAGUACUGUGAAGGAAAGAUGAAAAGCACUUUGAAAAGAGAGUGAAACAGCACGUGAAAUUGUUGAAAGGGAAGGGUAUUGCGCCCGACAUGGGGAUUGCGCACCGCUGCCUCUCGUGGGCGGCGCUCUGGGCUUUCCCUGGGCCAGCAUCGGUUCUUGCUGCAGGAGAAGGGGUUCUGGAACGUGGCUCUUCGGAGUGUUAUAGCCAGGGCCAGAUGCUGCGUGCGGGGACCGAGGACUGCGGCCGUGUAGGUCACGGAUGCUGGC